GCGGAGGGGUUCCACACGUACCCAUCCCGAACACGACCGUUAAGCCCUCCAGCGCCGAUGGUACUUGGACCGCAGGGUCCUGGGAGAGUAGGACGUCGCCAAGC
rnacentral:rRNA from 1 species